rnacentral:siRNA from 1 species
CGAUAUGUUGAACUUAGAAUA